UCCCAACACGGGGCCCCACCUCAUGACUUCAUCCCAACCUAAUCCCCUCCUAAAGGCCCCCCAUCCAGCUCUCUUCACAUCAGGGGUUAGGGUUUCCACAUGUGACUUGGUGGGAGGCACUGGCCAUCAGUCCCUAACAAGGGCUGUUUCUGUUCUGCUUCCUUCUGACCCCACCUCUGCCUCCAGGGCUGCUCCCCCCCCACCCCCACAGGGAACUGGAAUAGUUUUGUUCUGACACCAGCCACAUUUAUCUGCUGCAUCUGUACUCCACCCUUUCUCUCUGUUGGGACCCAGGCAGUUGAAGGCGGGGUGGUUAAAUUACACGUAAGCCUCUUGGGUUUUUGAAAUCGAAUCCUAGUCUAAGCAUAUCUGACCACAGGCAUCCACAACACCGCUUUGUGUUUCUCCUGGUUAAGGGACUUUUAGUGAUACUUGACAAUACAGAAUAAGUUUCCAAGGAUAAUUCAUCUUUCUGGCAAAGGAAAUGAUGGAAUAAUCAGCCAACUUGGAAACAUAACUAUAACUAUAUAACUACACACACACACACACACACACACACACACACACAGUUUUUUUGGCUGCCCUGUGGCAUAUGGAGUUCCCAGACCAGGGAUCAAAUCUGAGCCAGAGUUGCGACCCAUGCCACAGCUGCAGCAAUGAAAGAUCCUCGAUCCACGGUGCCAUGCCGAGGACUGAACACAUGUCCCUGCCACUACAGAGACACUGUUGAUUCCCGUGCACCACAGUGGGAAUGCCACAACAUUUUAAAUAAAAUAACCUCUGUUCUAUAUAAAUGGCUAAAUGAUGUGAAAUAUUUUCGACUAUACAGAUCUUCUCCCUUCAAAAUGUGUAUCACUCUGUUUCCAUUUAAUCACAAGAGAAUCCUGGGGAAGGACUAAAAUGUUGGAAAGGUCAUACACAAUCACAGGCUCAAGAAGACUGAGGAGUGACGCAUCUAAGAUAUAUGAACAUAUAUAUGUGUGUGGCAGCCUUGGGCUUCCUCUAAUCACAUGUCCCUAGAGGGAGAGUCUGCUCUAAGAGGAGGAGCUGAUGACAGCUCUCAGCCUCUGCCCCUUCAGGAUAUACCACAAGGUCUCCAGUGUCCUAGGCUGUUCCCACCCAACGAUGAGGCUGGGCAGGAGUCCUGGGGUCAGCCAUUCAGAGCCCUUCUCAUGGAGCUACCGUCACCCUGGUAAGAAUUUCUCUGAGUUGUGCUAGAGUCCAAGGCUCUUCUUACUCCAUCUUCCAUCCUUCCCUCUCUUCUCCCACAGGUGCCAGACCAACACUGUCUCUCGAAGGUUCUCCCAGUCCACUCCUGCUCCUUCAUUCCUUUAUCCUUCACAAAUACUUACCCCAAUGAAUUUCUUACACUAUUAAUUCCACCUUGGCAUAGGUUUCCCAGAGGACCAGAAUUAAUGCAAUGUGUUUGUAUAUUUACAUGUAUACAUCAACACAGGGAUACAAAUACAGAUGCAUGUAUUGACAUAUACACAUGCAUUUAUAUAUGUUUACAUGUAUGUAUGUAAUAUAUACAUACAUGCACACACACACACAUUUGUAUAACCAUCAGCCUACAUAUCAAAAGUUGAACUGAUCCUCUCACACAGAUAUGCUAAGAGUACAAUAAAGACAAUAUGAUGUUGCUUUCACUAUCUCGAUAAAGAUUCUUACUGAUAGGCAAGAAAGCAUCCUUACAUCUGUGUCAGAGAAUAGAGCAUGAUACUUAUUUUCAGUAUCACUGCUUACAUUAGGAAUGAUAAACCCAAAACUAAACUCAAAAUUGUAGUAUAUAUCACCAAUAUAUCUACUCUAUUCUAUUAUAUUAAAAAGCCUGGGUUUUAUUCUAGUAGGUAGGAAUUCAUCAGCUACAUUAUUUUUUUUUUCAAUUUUUAACUGGUAUCUAUUGGUAUUAUAAGGAUUCAAUAUUUUAAGAAUAAUCUUUUAUAAGGAUGCUACCAAAGAUAAGCUUAACUUAGGAUAAGAAUGGUAUUUAUGUUCACUGAAAUAGAAGUUUGUCAUAUUUAUCAAAUUACUUUAAGAAUCUUUCAAUACAUUUGCCUUGAGCAUUGAGAGAUUUCAGGCUAGUCAUGACAUUUUCAGUAAAUUUUACCUGAUGACCAAUGGAUGACUAUCCACCUUUUUAUUGAAAAUCUACAAUUUUAAAAAUACAUUAUGUUGAAGUUUCUGAAACCAGCCCAAACAUAUAGUUCCAAAUGGGAUAUUUGGGGGGGGAUGUUUAGAUAAAACAUAAUUCUAUAUGAUAUUCAUUUAUAUAUUAUAGACUGGAGUUUACUUUAAGCCUAAUUAUUUCUAUGUGAGACUCAAUUUUGAUGAUAUGCUUAAAAUACAUUUUAUAUAAAUGUGAUGAAUUAAUACAUACAUAGCAAAUUCUGCCAUUCUUUUCUUUCAAAUUCUUCCUACAUACAUAGCAAAUUCUGCCAUUCUUUUCUUUCAAAUGUCCCAUUUUUUUUCUUCUUUAACUUGUUACAUGAAAAUGUGGUCAAAUUUUCAGGAUCAAAACAUUUUUAUAAAGUUUGAUUUUGCAGUGAAAGAGUACAUUAGGCAGAAGCAGCCUUUUUUGAAACCUGAAUUUCUCAAGGUUUUUCUAGCACUCUUGAUUCAACAGGCAUGCCUUGAGCCUGAGACAUUCUAUUAGCCUUAAUCAGAAAAAUACAGCCCAUAUGUUGAUUAGGAAAUAUACUUUCUGAACACUGUACUUUUUCAAAACAGGAAGAAAAAUAUAUUUUGUGUUAUUUUACACCUUUUAAAUGCCAAGAUAUCUAAAAAUGACAGGUACUCUUUCAAUACCUGUAGAAGCUUAUGUUAAAAUUUUUAAUAAAGUGUCUGGAUAAAAGCAAAUUUUAUCCUCAGACCUUUUACCGAUGCAACUAGGAAAGAAAAAGAAAUGAACGUGUUUUUCUUCUUCCCACUGCAUGUUACUGAAAAUUCGUUUCUUCUACAUGUUAGCAAAUGUUAAAUUACUUGAAAUUUAAUAGGAAAAAAGCAUGAGAAAUAGAGAAUAAUAUAAUGAGAAGAGCCUCUCUGCCCCUUUUCCCUUCAUCGACCUCCAGGAUUUCAAUGUGCUCUUUACCUACUAUGCGAAGCCAAGCUGUUCAGGCUGGUUGUUCAAGGGGGCGGGAUGAGCUAGUGUGUGUCGAUCACAAAGUAUUUGCAAUUUUUUGAGAGUGAGAAAGAGCAUAUUUGAAAAGCUGAUAAAAUACUAAAACUUCCUCUCAUCCUGGACUUCAAACAGUUCUUUAGGAAUCAAAAUGCAAAGAAUGUCUAAAGGAAAUAGAGGGGUACCAUUUCCCUUAAACUUCUGGGUUUUUUGAAGUGACUGAUGAAUAAUUAUGAGAGCCAAUCAUGGGAUAAACAUUUGAAAGGUUUUGGGAAAAGUGAUCCUCCCAGUUUCCUUAUCCGUGCUUGGAGCCUGUCUCAUGUGUGGCUGAAGAUACUUAGAAAAUUAGGCUUCCAGCCAGAUAUACUCUCUGGAACUCUUGUGGAUUGGAGAGUGACAAAGAAGCAAAAAGCUUUUGAACAAAUGAGACUGGAACCCACUAGCUCAGGCACAGACUCAAAGAUAACUAUUUCAUUCCAUUAAGCAUCAGAAUCAUUCAAACACCUACAAUGAUUUGGAGAUUUAUCUCAUCAUAGCCUAAGAGAUCAAAUCAGAUGGCAUUAGACAAAAUAUCUAGGAAUAUCUGCCUGACUCGACAUUUAAACAUUUAAACACUGUUAUGGACUGAAUGUCUAUGUACCUUCCCAAAUACAGGUGUUGAAAUUCAAACCCCCAACGUGAUGGCAUUUGGAGACAGGGCCUUUGCAAAGUAAUUAGGGCUAGAUGAGGCCACGGGAGUAGGGCCUUUAUGAUGGGAUUAGUGUUCUUCUAAAGAGAUGCAGCAGAGUGAGACAGAAUACUAACUCAGGUAGUUAGUGUAGGAGCCUGGGCUCCAAUACAUUCUUUUGAUAUGGGUAUUGAUUAGCCUUUGUGGCUUAAAGACUCCAGGGAGUAACACCUCCACAGGCCUCAUUUUAUUAUAAGAAAUGCGCCUUCCCACAGGCUUUGUUUACUGUAGGAAAUGCAAAUCUCCAGCCCACUCCUCAACUGAUAAAAAGGGAAUGAGAGGAAUGGUGACUUAAUCUAAGGAAAGAAAAGGACAAAGAAACCACAAAACCUACAGGGGACGUUUCCAACCCUAAAAGCCCUAUUGGACAAGGACUGAUACAGGUAACUGAGCAAAGCCAAUGGGCGAAAACCACAUCUUUCUGGACCCCACGUUGGUACCCCCCUCCCAUCUUUAAGGAAUAAAAACCCCUAAAGACAAGAGAGAAGGGGGACUUUUCUCCCCUCUUCCAGCUGUCCUGGGAGCUAUCUGCUUUUCUUCAAUAAAGACUUUCUUUGCUUGCUUGCUGCCUGUGUGUUCCCAGAGUUCAUUCGACUGCUGUGAACAAGAAUCCGGAUUCUGGUAUCAUCUUUUGGUAUCAAGGGCACUUCCUCUUUUGCCUUCUUCCAACCCUGUGAGAACAUAGGAAGAAGCCGGCCAUUUGCAAGCCCAGGAGUUCUCACCAAAAAUCGUAUUGUCUGGUACCUGAUGUUGGACUUCCAGCCUCCAGAAGACUGGGAAAUAAAUGUAUGAUGUUCCAGCUACAUGGAAAAUGAUCUACGGCAUUUUGUUAUGGCAGCCAAUGCCAACAGAUACAAAUACUUUUCCUCCCUUCUGUUCACCAGUGUAUUUUUUUCCCUAUUGUUUCUAUUAAAGAAAACCCUAUAUAAUAUGUUCCAGCUGUAUGUAUAAUAAUUCUUACUGCAUCAAGGGUAACAGAGCAUACCUUAAUUUACAAAGAGGUGACUUCUACCCAAGGUGAGGGACACUUGCUCCUAUAAUUCUCAAUCUGGAAAACUUGUAUUUUUCUUUUAAUUAAUUUUAUAUUAGUCUUACCAUAGUCUAAGCUGACUAUCUUCAGAUUCUUUGACAUAAAAAGAGAGUAAAUAAAAUGAAGAUGUGCUGGAUAAAGAGGUGAUGGAUUGUUCCACAUAAUGAGUAGCCUCAGGGUAGAGCGAAUUCAAAUGCCAAUGGAUGAAUGGGUCAGACAUUCAGGAUUUGAUUUCUUUUAUGUUGAUUUCAGAUUCCAGGCAUCAGCAAGACGGAGCAGUAGCACUCAGUUCUGUUUCUCAGCUUCAAGUCCAGACAGAGAUGUUAUGUGCCACUCUGCAGAGUCAGCAAAAUUUUCAUGAUGUUACAGUCUCUGAAGAAACAGUGUGCCUUUCCCUGAAGCAAUCACUGUGGCCUGGGGGCCAUGGACUCUGGUUGAUCAAGUCUGAGAGACCUGCUUUUCUUGGGUGCAUGGAAUCAUAUGAACUGAGAGGAGAGAGACUUACAAAAUGAAAACUAUACAUUAGCAAAAUCAGAGUAAAUGGACACCCGUUGAGUCUUCCAGAGCCCAAUGCUUUUGUUGACAUUUUAACGUAUGUAUUUCUUCCUAAAUACUCCAUAAAACAAGUAACUUUAGUUUCAUAAAAUGCACCCAUGUCUUCCACAAAGGAGGUUGCUUCUCGCUCUAAGUUGAGGAUUUCUGAGUAAUGAACAGAGGUAGCUCUUGAUGUGUAUGUGUGUGCGUGCACGCGCACACACACACACACACACACAUACACACAAGAGAGAAAAGAGAAAAAUUACAAAACCACUUCCUAUCUGAGAAAGGGGAAAGAGACUCUGGCCCCUAUUACCUCUUGGAUCCUUCUGGACUGUUUAUAUGGUGAGAACCUACUGGAAGUCAAAGAGGUAUCUUAGGUUCUCCUAAGGUUUGCUCUAAAUGCUGCUUUUCAAGGGACAUUUCCCUGGUCCUGGAUCCUUCCUUGUCACAUCUGGGAUAAAAGGUGGUUUUAGGACAUUGUGAUAUACAAUGAAAGAACUCAAAAUUACUCCGGUUGCAUUAGACAGUUCAAUGGAUUCUGUGGACAAGAAGAACUCUGAUAUGGGAAGAAAAACUUAAGAAAAUCACCAGGAUCGCUGAAGUGGACAAGAAAGAACAAAGACACAUAGUGGGAGAGAAAACUGGGAGAGUAAAAAUUCAACUUGCAAAUUAUAAUGGUUUCUGAGGAACACUUGGAAAGCAAAAAUUAAAAAUCAAUAGAAAUAAAAUCAAUGAUCAAAUAAACAGUUAAGGAUACACUCCUAUGAUGUUGAAAAGAUUAAUAAACAAAUAAAACCAUUUACUGAGUUUGGCAAAAGCCAUUGGAAAAAUAAAAGAUACACAUAGCCAUGCAUACUGGAAAGUUUUGAAUUAUAAAGCAAUGUACAUCUAGGCAUUAGGUACACACAAAUAAUUAAAAACUAAAAAUAUAUUGUUCUUGUCUUGCUAAAAAUCCCAAAAAUACAGAUGAAGCUACCUCAAACUUCUCAGAAAUAUGAAGAUAUAGUGGCUCUGACUUGGUUUCAAAAUGGGGAACAUGGAUAAUGACCUAAGAAUUUUAUAUUAUGUUAAGGUGUUAUUUAUAUUUAACAGUAACUCAAAAUAAAGAGAUUUUUUAGUCAUGAUAAUACAAAAACAAAAUACUAAUACAUAAAGGGAACUCAGUGUUCAUUACUCUCUGUUCCUAAGGGUUUAUAUGUAUUGACACAUUUAAUUCUUACAACACAUCUAUGAAAUGAGUGUAUUUUUAUUCUAAUUUAACAGAUGAGUUGAAUUUCAAGAAAAGCUAAAUUAACUAAGGGCAGGCAGCUGAUGCACAGAAGAACUGGAACUUAAUCCAGACAUUCUGGCUCCAGGGAAUGCACCAAAAUGUAGUGUACAUGUAAUGAUGAUGAAAAAAAAAAAAAAA
rnacentral:lncRNA from 1 species